AGGAGCUAAAGGAAUGUUCAGACUCUCAAAGACAGCUGGAUACCCCACACCGGGAAACUGAGCAGGAAGAAACUUGCCCUGGCAAUCUACACAAUUUCCAGUGGUGAGGAGAUGAGACUCCCAGGAGGAUGAGGGCCACCCACAGGGCUAUGGAAGAGGCUCAAGACUGAUGAGGAAGGAAGAAAAUCAGCUGGAUCCUCAAGACACAAACAGACUAACAGACUCUUUCAUUGCAACCUUUAGGGCGGAGGAAAUUUGACAUAGGAUGCAGGGGCAUCAUACGAUCGACUAUGAGCAAUGUGCCCACCGCGUGAGCCUCUCAGGACACAGGAAGUAAACCAACAGUCUCACUUUCCAGUGUCUCACCUCGGCUUCUCUUCUGUUCUCUUUAAUUUGUCUUCAGAGCACUGAGCAGUGGUCGUCCUUGGUCCCAGACAAUACUGUCUCUAAGAGAAGACCAACACAGUUAGAGACAGGACGGCCCAAAGGAGAAUCAGAUCCGUCCAGUUUAGGCCAUGUAUCUAGUUAUGGACCCGU
rnacentral:lncRNA from 1 species